rnacentral:rRNA from 1 species
UUGUUGGUAAGGUAAAAGCUUACCAAGGCUUCGAUCAGUAGCUGGUCUGAGAGGACGGCCAGCCACACUGGGACUGAGACACGGCCCAGACUCCUACGGGAGGCAGCAGUGGGGAAUUUUGGACAAUGGGGGCAACCCUGAUCCAGCCAUGCCGCGUGAGUGAAGAAGGCCUUCGGGUUGUAAAGCUCUUUCAGCCGGAACGAAACGGUCACGGUUAACACCCGUGACUACUGACGGUACCGGAAGAAGAAGCACCGGCUAACUACGUGCCAGCAGCCGCGGUAAUACGUAGGGUGCGAGCGUUAAUCGGAAUUACUGGGCGUAAAGCGUGCGCAGGUGGUUUUGUAAGUCAGAUGUGAAAGCCCCGGGCUCAACCUGGGAACUGCGUUUGAAACUACAAGACUAGAGUGUGGCAGAAGGGGGGUGGAAUUCCGCGUGUAGCAGUGAAAUGCGUAGAGAUGUGGAGGAACACCGAUGGCGAAGGCAGCCCCCUGGGUCAACACUGACGCUCAGGCACGAAAGCAUGGGGAGCAAACAGGAUUAGAUACCCUGGUAGUCCAUGCCCUAAACGAUGUCAACUAGUUGUCGGGCCUUUACGGGCUUGGUAACGUAGCUACGCGUGAAGUUGACCGCCUGGGGAGUACGAUCGCAAGAUUAAAACUCAAAUGAAUUGACGGGGACCCGCACAAGCGGUGGAUUAUGUGGAUUAAUUCGAUGCAACGCGAAAAACCUUACCUACCCUUGACAUGUAUCGAAGCCCGCAGAAAAGCGGGGGUGCCCGAAAGGGAACGAUAACACAGGUGCUGCAUGGCUGUCGUCAGCUCGUGUCGUGAGAUGUUGGGUUAAGUCCCGCAGCGAGCGCAACCCUUGUCAUUAAUUGCCAUCAUUUAGUUGGGCACUUUAAUGAGACUGCCGG